ACCAACCGGGAUUGCCUUAGUAACGGCGAGUGAAGCGGCAAAAGCUCAAAUUUGAAAUCUGGUACCUUCGGUGCCCGAGUUGUAAUUUGGAGAGGGCAACUUUGGGGCCGUUCCUUGUCUAUGUUCCUUGGAACAGGACGUCAUAGAGGGUGAGAAUUCCGUGUGGCGAGGAGUGCGGUUCUUUGUAAAGUGUCUUCGAAGAGUCGAGUUGUUUGGGAAUGCAGCUCUAAGUGGGUGGUAAAUUCCAUCUAAAGCUAAAUAUUGGCGAGAGACCGAUAGCGAACAAGUACAGUGAUGGAAAGAUGAAAAGAACUUUGAAAAGAGAGUGAAAAAGUACGUGAAAUUGUUGAAAGGGAAGGGCAUUUGAUCAGACAUGGUGUUUGUGCCCUCUGCUCCUUGUGGGUAGGGGAAUCUCGCAUUUCACUGGGCCAGCAUCAGUUUUGGUGGCAGGAUAAAUCCAUAGGAAUGUAGCUUGCCUCGGUAAGUAUUAUAGCCUGUGGGAAUACUGCC
rnacentral:rRNA from 1 species